AGUUAGCGGUGCUCCGCCAAUAUAAAGUUGUAAAAGUUACUAGAAUUGUUAGUAAGUACUUAAUAUGCUAAAAUAUUAUUGUUAAGAGUGUUACAAACGUACUGAAAAUUGUUUUAUGUGUGGAUGGAUGACAUCUAAUGGUUUAUCAUUGAGUACAGCGGUUUGAGUAUGUAUGUGCGUCAGUAGGACACAGUGAUUUUAGUGAAUCAAUUAACUGGUGUUGUAUCUGUCCAGGUGGAAAAAUCACAGAACGAAAACCUUUCUCAUUGUUGUACUCUCUCUGCUCCAUCCAGGUAUAGAUAAUUGUUCAUUUGAUCUUCAAUUAAUUUUUGUAUCACUUUGUUCAAUUCAUCAAUUCUAAUUCAUGUUUGAUUUAAAAAUUUGCUGCAGAAGAUUAUAUCAUAUCUGAAUAAAUGUCUGUAACGAUUUAUCUGGCACUGUAUUUUUGAUGUUAUCAUUGUGAUUUUCACUGAGACCGCGCUGAGCACGCUGAGGAGAGGUGGAAAAAUCACAGAACGAAAACCUUUCUCAUUGUUGUACUCUCUCUGCUCCAUCCAGCACCUGCAUGCUCCAUUUCAAUAAACCCUCCAUCAGCAGCAGUUCCUGUGAUCCGUGUCUUCAUUUAUAACACAACGCAGAUCGAAACCGUGCCAUAGACAGGCCG